GUUUGAUCCUGGCUCAGAACGAACGCUGGCGGCGUGGAUAAGACAUGCAAGUCGAACGGGAUAUUUUUGUAGCAAUACCGGAAUAUUCAGUGGCGAACGGGUGCGUAACACGUGGGUAACAUGCCGGGAAGAGGAGAAUAGCCCAGGGAAACUUGGAUUAAUGCUCCAUGUGGUCGCAAGACUAAAGACGGGGUAACCUGUCGCUUCCUGAUUGGCCCGCGGCCUAUCAGCUAGUUGGCGAGGUAACGGCUCACCAAGGCAACGACGGGUAGCUGGUCUGAGAGGAUGACCAGCCACACUGGAACUGAGACACGGUCCAGACACCUACGGGUGGCAGCAGUCGAGAAUCUUUCACAAUGGGGGCAACCCUGAUGGAGCGACGCCGCGUGGAGGAUAAGGUCUUCGGAUUGUAAACUCCUGUCAUGCGAGAGUAAGGCCCCGCGUUAACUGCGCGUGGGAUUGACAGUACCGCAAGAGGAAGAGACGGCUAACUCUGUGCCAGCAGCCGCGGUAAUACAGAGGUCUCAAGCGUUGUUCGGAAUUACUGGGCGUAAAGGGUGCGUAGGCUGCGCAGAAAGUCAGAUGUGAAAUCCGGGAGCUCAACUUCCGAAUUGCAUCCGAUACUCCUGUGCUA
rnacentral:rRNA from 1 species